ACCAAUUCUGAAGGAUUAAAAAUGGUUCCUUUAGGUAUAAUGGCAUUGACGCAAGAUUAUUUGUGGUAUAUCCUGAUCAUUUGGCUUUUUUCUAUGUUACUUGAUCCUGGAAAUGCCUCGCACAUUU
rnacentral:snoRNA from 1 species